GGCAGUGAUGUUGAAUGUAAACAAAAAGCUGCUUGCCGUCGCUUCUCUCUCGUCAUUGUGUUAAACAAGCCAAUAGCGCGCCAGGUGGAUAAGCUAGUUUGGGAUUGGUCCCCGCAGAUUUGUAACGACAGCAAGAUAGAUAUAUAUACAGGUAUCCA